GGGUGUCUUGGGUGGCUAGCGAGUUUACUUUGAAAAAAUUAGAGUGCUUAACACAGGCUAACGCCUGAAUACUCGUGCAUGGAAUAAUAGAAUAAGACCACGGNUCUAAACGCNAAGCNCUUUNGAAAGAUCUUUAUGUCAAGAAUGUUUGUUACCNAAGCGCUCCCGCCCCAGCACCGGUAANGAG
rnacentral:rRNA from 1 species